CAGUCUCCACAGCUCCUGAUCUAUUUGGGUUCUAAUCGGGCCUCCGGGGUCCCUGACAGGUUCAGUGGCAGUGGAUCAGGCACAGAUUUUACACUGAAAAUCAGCAGAGUGGAGGCUGAGGAUGUUGGGGUUUAUUACUGCAUGCAAGCUCUACAAUUCGGCGGAGGGACCAAGGUGGAGAUCAAACGAACUGUGGCUGCACCAUCUGUCUUCAUCUU
rnacentral:lncRNA from 1 species